GGGCCCGUAGCCCAGUACGGAUUAAGGCGCUGGCCUUCGGAGCCGGAGAUCGAGGGUUCAAAUCCCUCCGGGCCCG
rnacentral:tRNA from 1 species